AUUGAACGCUGGCGGCAGGCCUAACACAUGCAAGUCGAGCGGAUGAAGGGAGCUUGCUCCUGGAUUCAGCGGCGGACGGGUGAGUAAUGCCUAGGAAUCUGCCUGGUAGUGGGGGAUAACGUCCGGAAACGGGCGCUAAUACCGCAUACGUCCUGAGGGAGAAAGUGGGGGAUCUUCGGACCUCACGCUAUCAGAUGAGCCUAGGUCGGAUUAGCUAGUUGGUGGGGUAAAGGCCUACCAAGGCGACGAUCCGUAACUGGUCUGAGAGGAUGAUCAGUCACACUGGAACUGAGACACGGUCCAGACUCCUACGGGAGGCAGCAGUGGGGAAUAUUGGACAAUGGGCGAGAGCCUGAUCCAGCCAUGCCGCGUGUGUGAAGAAGGUCUUCGGAUUGUAAAGCACUUUAAGUUGGGAAGAAGGGCAGUAAGUUAAUACCUUGCUGUUUUGACGUUACCAACAGAAUAAGCACCGGCUAACUUCGUG
rnacentral:rRNA from 1 species